UGAUGCACAACACCUCCUCGUCGUUCCCUCCCUGCGCGCGCCCCUGCGGCUAACCCCAGCCGCCAACUCGUGUUGGGGACACUGAGGAUGGGAGCGGGGCAGCCGCGUCGCUGAGGGGUUGGACCGGCUGGGUCGUCACCGCUUGGGUGGUGAAGUAGGGGCAACGGUGGCGCCGUGUUGGGGCGGAGGAGAAGGAUGGAGACACGGGCGAAGACAUCGUUGGUGUCGGCGGCGAAUCUGGUAGAGCCCCUCUCUCUUCCCAAGCCUGCCCCUCUCACCCUCUUCCUCAAGCGGCAAGACCCCAGGGGGAUGGAGGCCUGACGACGCGGGCGUUGGUGCGCUUGCGUGGCGGUCUGGCGGUGGCCGGAGGACGCCCAUCCCAGCCAGAAGCAGCAGAAGGCAACUGAAAAGUGGAGCAGAUCAAGCACCCGGGGUCACCUGAGGCGGCUCGGUGCACCUCCAAGUGCGUCAGUAGCUGCGUCCUCCGUGGAGCCGGCGCUCCCGGCAUCAUCAGGCCCUUCAACGUCAGAAGACCCCUGAUGGUGUUCAAGGAAGUUUUCCGCAGCUGGAAGUAGUGCUACGUAUGUGACGUAGAGCAGUUCGGACCAUGGAAUUCUUCUACUCGAUUCAGAACAGCAUCAGUGUAAUGUGUUUGUCUGUACAAGUGGUCUGACACCUACGUCCUAAUCAUGGACGAAGAAGACAAAGACAAUGAUCCAUGGUAUCAUCAACAUGUAUGCUGCAGCUAACAAAGGGAGGGCAAUAAUUUUCAGUGAGGCUGCGGACGGGAUGAACCAAACUCUUGCACCCAAUAUGCAGGCAAG